UACGUAGGGUGCAAGCGUUGUCCGGAAUUAUUGGGCGUAAAGAGCUCGUAGGCGGUCUGUCGCGUCGGCUGUGAAAACUCGGGGCUCAACUCCGAGCUUGCAGUCGAUACGGGCAGGCUAGAGUGCGGUAGGGGAGAUUGGAAUUCCUGGUGUAGCGGUGGAAUGCGCAGAUAUCAGGAGGAACACCGAUGGCGAAGGCAGAUCUCUGGGCCGUAACUGACGCUGAGGAGCGAAAGCAUGGGGAGCGAACAGG
rnacentral:rRNA from 1 species